rnacentral:ncRNA from 1 species
AUAUAGAGGUGCAGGUAACAAGAGUACUUUCAGGAAGAGUAGCGUUGAUGAUCUGGAAGAAAAGGGUUAACUGCCGAAGUAUAAGUAACUGCUAGGUUAUUAUACUGGUUUUGUGCCAAAUAGGUAUAAGACUGUCACCAAUGAUAAGCUUGGUGGAGCGCUAUCUC